GUCUUCUUCAAAGGGAAAAUUCUGACUAGUCGCUUUUUGUUAGAAUGGACAUAGGACUGUCAGUGUCGUACUAUGUCCAUUCUAACAAAAAGCGACUAGUCAGAAUUUUUCCUUUGAAGAAGACUCG
rnacentral:pre_miRNA from 1 species